CUUUGACUUGGAUGCAGCAUCCGGUGUGUACUCUCCCUCUCAUACAGGGUGAAAGCUGGACAUAGCUCAGUUCAGGACUGACGUGACCACUGACGGAUGCUGUGGCACAGAUACUGGUAAACAAUAUACAUGUGUUUAUCUGUAUUUUUUUAAAUGUAUUUUUAGAUUCUGGUAUUUCUAACCUUGUUUUCUUAUUAGUAGUUGAUGCACUGGAUUGCUCCCUCUGCUCCCGCAUUAUUUAAUAACUGGAGUUGGUGUACCCUUGUAAAGUAGGCUUAUACUUUUAUUAUAUGUUUUAGUGUUUCACUUAUGUGCAAUAUGUUGAACCUUGGGAUGGCAACUAAUGCAUUCUGUGUUUUCUUUAAAGGACCAGGCCAGCCACUGUUUUCUACUGUUGAUUUACUUUUUGCUGUUUAUUUGAUUUGUAGGCUUGAGGCAAUUAGGGUAUAUUUUCUACUUUACUUGAUGUACUGGGUAGUAGUCAUUUGGAUGGUGAUGUCAUUAAAUGUGUCUGUUCUCUUUUGUACCUACAGCUUGACUCUGUGAAAGACCGGGUCCGCACUGACACACAGCCUCCUUCUGUGGUGGGACUGCACGGGUGACACUCAGUAGUGGUGUGUAUAUUUGGUCAUGACACUGCAUGUAUUUCAUUGCGAUAAAUCAUAUGUAAAUAGAGGUUAAGUGUGUAGUGCAUGCAUGUGGUAGAAUUGCUGUCUCCCUCUUCUGUCUCCCACAGUCAUUUUAUUGUUGCUGUGUAUAGCUGACCCGCCCUUAUUGUGAAGAGAACUGUUUGACUUUACUAAUCCAGUGAGAUUGUUUUGUUUAUUGCCUCAUGCCUAUGUUUUAGUGAAAUUUGAUCUAUAUAUUGUAAUAAAGCUGACUUAAAUUUUG